ensembl:lncRNA
AAGCAAUGAGCAUCCAGUGAUGGUGUAGGAGGCUAGAAGGAAAACGGUGUUUGGGAGGAAGAGCAUAAAAGUUGGAUAUAUUUUUUCCUUCUUUAUCUCGUCUCUUUGGUUAUUGACAGUGUUCAUGCUUCUCGUUUGUCAUUGAUAACAUACCGCGUUUUUUUAUCGAAUACUUCACAAUCUUGAUUUCAGCGACUGCACGCCCCCCAUAUCCAUCGUGUGAUCGUCAAGGCAGGGAACCCAUGGCGCAUUCGGUGGAGACGUUCCAGACCCACCUCACCUCUGUCAUGGACAGUUUGAUCCGAGCGUCGGUGUGCGAGAUCACCAAACUGUUCCAGGACACGGUGAACGACUAUCUGGUGGAAAUAUCUCUGAACAGGAAGGAAAUGGAGGCUCUGAAACUCCGACUCCGACUUACGGAGAACCAACUGAGGAAUGAACGCAAGUACGGGAUGGGGUGGGCAGAGAAUCGCCGCAAUGCUGGUUUGAUACUGCCUGAGGACGGUGGGCGGAAAAAGCGGAAAAUUGAAGUGCCCCAAGCAAAGCAGAAGCUGGGCCUUGCCUUUGGAGGCGCGUGGGAGGAAGGAGGAGCACCAGCUGGGGUGGUAGCGGGGGGAGGCUGGAAGGAGGCACGCGAGAAGUACCUCAUCCACUUCCCUGGGGAGGAAGAGGAACAAGGAGAUCUAUUGGAGGAGGAUGAGGAGGAGGGCUGUGUUUCAAGAGAGGGGGAGGAAGCGGCCAACAUCAAAGAGGAGGUGAGCGAGACGAGGAGCCAGAAUGUGGUGCACACAGUGUCAGAGCAUCAAGGAGAAGUAGUUCAUAAGAACAACAGGGUGGUGCGUGUGUCCUACCAAGGAGGACUGUGUUUAUUUACAGUUUCUACAUCCAAUGUAUUUGUUUUUGAUGAAUUACUCUCUGC